rnacentral:rRNA from 1 species
CCUACGGGAGGCAGCAGUGAGGAAUAUUGGUCAAUGGCCGGAAGGCUGAACCAGCCAUGCCGCGUGAAGGUCAGUGCCCUAUGGGCGUUAAACUUCUUUUGUGCGGGAGCACUAAUGGUCACGUGUGGCCAGACGAGAGUAUCGUACGAAUAAGGAUCGGCUAACUCCGUGCCAGCAGCCGCGGUAAUACGGAGGAUCCGAGCGUUAUCCGGAUUUAUUGGGUUUAAAGGGUGCGUAGGCGGUUUGAUAAGUUAGAGGUGAAAUGUCGGGGCUCAACCCCGAAACUGCCUCUAAUACUGUUGGACUAGAGAAUAGUUGCGGUAGGCGGAAUGUAUGGUGUAGCGGUGAAAUGCUUAGAGAUCAUACAGAACACCGAUUGCGAAGGCAGCAUACCGGCGCCCGACUGACGCUGAAGCACGAAAGCGUGGGUAUCGAACAGGAUUAGAUACCCGUGUAGUC